rnacentral:rRNA from 1 species
UGGAGCCGUAGCGAAAGCGAGUCUGAAUAGGGCGUUUAGUAUUUGGUCGUAGACCCGAAACCAGGUGAUCUACCCUUGGUCAGGUUGAAGUUCAGGUAACACUGAAUGGAGGACCGAACCGACUUACGUUGAAAAGUGAGCGGAUGAACUGAGGGUAGCGGAGAAAUUCCAAUCGAACCUGGAGAUAGCUGGUUCUCUCCGAAAUAGCUUUAGGGCUAGCCUCAAGUGAUGAUUAUUGGAGGUAGAGCACUGUUUGGACGAGGGGCCCCUCUCGGGUUACCGAAUUCAGACAAACUCCGAAUGCCAAUUAAUUUAACUUGGGAGUCAGAACAUGGGUGAUAAGGUCCGUGUUCGAAAGGGAAACAGCCCAGACCACCAGCUAAGGUCCCAAAAUAUAUGUUAAGUGGAAAAGGAUGUGGCGUUGCCCAGACAACUAGGAUGUUGGCUUAGAAGCAGCCAUCAUUUAAAGAGUGCGUAAUAGCUCACUAGUCGAGUGACACUGCGCCGAAAAUGUACCGGGGCUAAACAUAUUACCGAAGCUGUGGAUUGUCCUUUGGACAAUGGUAGGAGAGCGUUCUAAGGGCGUUGAAGCAUGAUCGUAAGGACAUGUGGAGCGCUUAGAAGUGAGAAUGCCGGUGUGAGUAGCGAAAGACGGGUGAGAAUCCCGUCCACCGAUUGACUAAGGUUUCCAGAGGAAGGCUCGUCCGCUCUGGGUUAGUCGGGUCCUAAGCUGAGGCCGACAGGCGUAGGCGAUGGAUAACAGGUUGAUAUUCCUGUACCACCUAUAAUCGUUUUAAUCGAUGGGGGGACGCAGUAGGAUAGGCGAAGCGUGCGAUUGGAUUGCACGUCUAAGCAGUAAGGCUGAGUAUUAGGCAAAUCCGGUACUCGUUAAGGNNNAGCUGUGAUGGGGAGAAGACAUUGUGUCUUCGAGUCGUUGAUUUCACACUGCCGAGAAAAGCCUCUAGAUAGAAAAUAGGUGCCCGUACCGCAAACCGACACAGGUAGUCAAGAUGAGAAUUCUAAGGUGAGCGAGCGAACUCUCGUUAAGGAACUCGGCAAAAUGACCCCGUAACUUCGGGAGAAGGGGUGCUCUUUAGGGUUAACGCCCAGAAGAGCCGCAGUGAAUAGGCCCAAGCGACUGUUUAUCAAAAACACAGGUCUCUGCUAAACCGUAAGGUGAUGUAUAGGGGCUGACGCCUGCCCGGUGCUGGAAGGUUAAGAGGAGUGGUUAGCUUCUGCGAAGCUACGAAUCGAAGCCCCAGUAAACGGCGGCCGUAACUAUAACGGUCCUAAGGUAGCGAAAUUCCUUGUCGGGUAAGUUCCGACCCGCACGAAAGGCGUAACGAUUUGGGCACUGUCUCAACGAGAGACUCGGUGAAAUCAUAGUACCUGUGAAGAUGCAGGUUACCCGCGACAGGACGGAAAGACCCCGUGGAGCUUUACUGUAGCCUGAUAUUGAAAUUCGGCACAGCUUGUACAGGAUAGGUAGGAGCCUUUGAAACGUGAGCGCUAGCUUACGUGGAGGCGCUGGUGGGAUACUACCCUAGCUGUGUUGGCUUUCUAACCCGCACCACUNAUCGUGGUGGGAGACAGUGUCAGGCGGGCAGUUUGACUGGGGCGGUCGCCUCCUAAAAGGUAACGGAGGCGCUCAAAGGUUCCCUCAGAAUGGUUGGAAAUCAUUCAUAGAGUGUAAAGGCAUAAGGGAGCUUGACUGCGAGACCUACAAGUCGAGCAGGGUCGAAAGACGGACUUAGUGAUCCGGUGGUUCCGCAUGGAAGGGCCAUCGCUCAACGGAUAAAAGCUACCCCGGGGAUAACAGGCUUAUCUCCCCCAAGAGUUCACAUCGACGGGGAGGUUUGGCACCUCGAUGUCGGCUCAUCGCAUCCUGGGGCUGUAGUCGGUCCCAAGGGUUGGGCUGUUCGCCCAUUAAAGCGGUACGCGAGCUGGGUUCAGAACGUCGUGAGACAGUUCGGUCCCUAUCCGUCGUGGGCGUAGGAAAUUUGAGAGGAGCUGUCCUUAGUACGAGAGGACCGGGAUGGACAUACCUCUGGUGUACCAGUUGUCGUGCCAACGGCAUAGCUGGGUAGCUAUGUGUGGACGGGAUAAGUGCUGAAAGCAUCUAAGCAUGAAGCCCCCCUCAAGAUGAGAUUUCCCAACUUCGGUUAUAAGAUCCCUCAAAGAUGAUGAGGUUAAUAGGUUCGAGGUGGAAGCAUGGUGACAUGUGGAGCUGACGAAUACUAAUCGAUCGAAGACUUAAUCAA